rnacentral:lncRNA from 1 species
GUCUCAGUUUUCAGAUCUUUUGAUAAGGAUAAAAGAGGAUGUGUACUUUCAACUAAAGGUUACUUACUCUCGAGUUUUCUUUAUAUUUUUUUUACGCGUUCUUACUGUUAAUUCAUUUUUUCUGUGUCUUUGUUUUGGACCUGAAUGGUGGCAAGAGGCUUAAACUUAGUUUGUCACCUCUAUUUGCAUUGCCAAUUAUUUUUAGGUCGUGUUCACUCGGUCUUCUUACUCGGUCAAGGCAUUUGAUAGGUUCAAAUUUAUUUAUGUUGGUCAAGUUAAGUUUAAAUUUGCACAAUUUAAUUUAACAUAGAAGUUUUGUGGAUGCUAAUGUGAGUUCUUGAUACAAUUUAUUGAUCCACCUCUGAGAUUUGGUAAUAUUUUAACAUUAUGUGGGUUUGUUAUUCUUUUAAUUUAUUUAUUUAUUGUGGUUGGUAAUUUUCAUAUAAGACUCCGAAGGAAUCAAAGAGGUGUGAUAUUGUAGGUGAGAUUGGUUUAAGUAUUCCAAUCCUACAACAAACAAGUUACGAUUUCACUUGUUUUCUUCAUUUUAGAUCUCUUUAAAACUUGUAAGAAUUUAUUGCGUAUAUGCUCAAAUAAUGUUUUUUUGUCUCUUAACAAUCAUUUUGUUUUCAUUUGCCAGGCGGUGCUUCUGAAAAUGGCCAAGUAUUGUUUGAGUUCUUGGCAAAAUCUUUUACUUUUUGAUGUUGGUUGUGAGUAAAUUGUCUUGUAUUUUUCACUAGAUCGGAUUUGUUACUCUAGGAUUAGGACUUGGGUAAUUGCCUCUAGCCUUUAGGUUUUUUAAGGAUUUGUUACUUUGUGUUAUACAAAGAUUGUUAUUUUCGAUUUCUGGUUUUCGACGGUUGCCCUCACAGUUCGCUUGUCUUUGCUCACAUCGAAUUUAUUUGCUGGAACACUUUCAUCGGUUUAUUGCACCUUCGGUAAUUCACUACCCUACUUUGUUCAAAAUAGUAUUU